AGUCACUGACAUUAGAUACCCCCGUAGUCCCAGCCGUAAACAAUGUGCGUUAGGUGUGUCGGUAACCACGCGUUACUGAUGCGCCGAAGAGAAAUCGUGAAACGCACCACCUGGGAAGUACGGUCGCAAGGCUGAAACUUAAAGGAAUUGGCGGGGGAGCACCACAACAGGUGGAGCCUGCGGUUUAAUUGGAUUCAACGCCGGACAUCUCACCGGAUAAGACAGCUGAAUGAUUGUCAAUCUGAAGGUUUACAUGACUAGCUG
rnacentral:rRNA from 1 species